UACAGAGGUCUCAAGCGUUGUUCGGAUUCAUUGGGCGUAAAGGGUGCGUAGGCGGCGCGGUAAGUCGGGUGUGAAAUCUCGGAGCUUAACUCCGAAACUGCAUUCGAUACUGCCGUGCUUGAGGACUGGAGAGGAGACUGGAAUUUACGGUGUAGCGGUGAAAUGCGUAGAUAUCGUAAGGAAGACCAGUGGCGAAGGCGGGUCUUUGGACAGUUCCUGACGCUGAGGCACGAAGGUCAGGGGAGCAAACGGG
rnacentral:rRNA from 1 species